rnacentral:sRNA from 2 species
AUACUACUCAAAGGGGAGUAGCUUUUAGGUUUAAUACCUAAAACAAAGUCGUCAGUUCAUGGCAUAUGCCAUCGGCUUUGUUGGCAUAUUAGUGCU